rnacentral:rRNA from 1 species
UACGUAGGGUGCGAGCGUUAAUCGGAAUUACUGGGCGUAAAGCGUGCGCAGGCGGUUCGUUGUGUCGGCGGGGAAAGCCCCGGGCUCAACCUGGGAAUUGCAUUUGAUACUCUGGAGCUUGAGUACGGGAGAGGAGAGUGGAAUUCCCAGUGUAGAGGUGAAAUUCGUAGAUAUCGGGAGGAACACCGGUGGCGAAGGCGGCGAUCUGGGUCGAUACUGACGCUGAGGUGCGAAAGCGUGGGGAGCAAACAGG